rnacentral:rRNA from 1 species
GAUGAACGCUGGCGGCGUGCCUAAUACAUGCAAGUCGAGCGAACAGACGAGGAGCUUGCUCCUCUGACGUUAGCGGCGGACGGGUGAGUAACACGUGGAUAACCUACCUAUAAGACUGGGAUAACUUCGGGAAACCGGAGCUAAUACCGGAUAAUAUAUUGAACCGCAUGGUUCAAUAGUGAAAGACGGUUUUGCUGUCACUUAUAGAUGGAUCCGCGCCGCAUUAGCUAGUUGGUAAGGUAACGGCUUACCAAGGCAACGAUGUGUAGCCGACCUGAGAGGGUGAUCGGCCACACUGGAACUGAGACACGGUCCAGACUCCUACGGGAGGCAGCAGUAGGGAAUCUUCCGCAAUGGGCGAAAGCUUGACGGAGCAACGCCGCGUGAGUGAUGAAGGUCUUCGGAUCGUAAAACUCUGCUAUUAGGGAAGAACAAAUGUGUAAGUAACUAUGCACGUCUUGACGGUACCUAAUCAGAAAGCCACGGCUAACUACGUG